rnacentral:rRNA from 1 species
GGCGAACGGGUGAGUAACACGUGAGUAACCUGCCCUUGACUCUGGGAUAAGCCUGGGAAACUGGGUCUAAUACCGGAUACGACCAUCUGGCGCAUGUCAUGGUGGUGGAAAGCUUUUGUGGUUUUGGAUGGACUCGCGGCCUAUCAGCUUGUUGGUGGGGUAAUGGCCUACCAAGGCGACGACGGGUAGCCGGCCUGAGAGGGUGACCGGCCACACUGGGACUGAGACACGGCCCAGACUCCUACGGGAGGCAGCAGUGGGGAAUAUUGCACAAUGGGCGCAAGCCUGAUGCAGCGACGCCGCGUGAGGGAUGACGGCCUUCGGGUUGUAAACCUCUUUCAGUAGGGAAGAAGCGAAAGUGACGGUACCUGCAGAAGAAGCGCCGGCUAACUACGUGCCAGCAGCCGCGGUAAUACGUAGGGCGCAAGCGUUAUCCGGAAUUAUUGGGCGUAAAGAGCUCGUAGGCGGUUUGUCGCGUCUGCUGUGAAAGACCGGGGCUCAACUCCGGUUCUGCAGUGGGUACGGGCAGACUAGAGUGCAGUAGGGGAGACUGGAAUUCCUGGUGUAGCGGUGAAAUGCGCAGAUAUCAGGAGGAACACCGAUGGCGAAGGCAGGUCUCUGGGCUGUAACUGACGCUGAGGAGCGAAAGCAUGGGGAGCGAACAGGAUUAGAUACCCUGGUAGUCCAUGCCGUAAACGUUGGGCACUAGGUGUGGGGGACAUUCCACGUUUUCCGCGCCGUAGCUAACGCAUUAAGUGCCCCGCCUGGGGAGUACGGCCGCAAGGCUAAAACUCAAAGGAAUUGACGGGGGCCCGCACAAGCGGCGGAGCAUGCGGAUUAAUUCGAUGCAACGCGAAGAACCUUACCAAAGGCUUGACAUGAACCGGAAAGACCUGGAAACAGGUGCCCCGCUUGCGGUCGGGUUUACAGGUGGUGCAUGGUGUCGUCAGCUCGUGUCGUGAGAUGUUGGGUUAAGUCCCGCAACGAGCGCAACCCUCGUUCUAUGUUGCCAGCGCGUUAUGGCGGGGACUCAUAGGAGACUG